AAAAAUAAGAGCAAACAAAAACAAUGUAAAAAAAAGAUGAGAAAGACCUUGAAUCAAUGGGCCAAGGGUUGAUCAAAUGGAGGAAGGGGUGAAUUAGGAUACACCAAGGAAUUAUUUAGGUCGAAGGCCCAAAUCUCCACAACCAAAUCCCAAAAUUGGGUCUGGUCCAGUCUUCACUCUUGUAGCUGCAAACCAGCUCAGUCCCGCUUCCAAUACGCAACCAUGUGACAAAAGAAUGAAAUUGAUUGCACCUCAUUCGCACACCCCUCCAUUUCCGCAAUUUCAUAAAUUGAGCUUCAAAGUCAUCCGCGAAAGAAAUUAACUUUGGGUGUCGGAAGAAGUUGCUUCAAUGGAAUAUGUCGUGCGAAUGAUGAAUAGUGAAACGGGUUGAAUGGUUUGUUUUAGAUGACUGGAAACGCAAAUCUGAAGGGAGAUUAGAGGUAUGUUUAUUUUACCGAGCUUAAUUCCUUCUAUUCGUUCCUUCCGCUUCUCUCUUAUUCUCUUGUCCAAUUUGUGAGUUCUUGUGUGAGUGAUGGAUUCUGUUUGUGAUUGUAGGAUGUGGUUGUUGAGCGAAUUAGUGAGAUUCCGAUGUUGAGAGUGCGAUGAAGAUUGAUGCAGGGUGGGGUUGAAGCUACCAGGCAAAGAUUCAAUGGUUUUUAUGGUACUCUCAAUGGUUUAGUUGUGGAUUUUUCGGUUGAAGAACCGAUCCCCCUCUAAUCUGCACCCGAUGAGUAUUUAUAGCAUGCUUCCCUCCGAAUAUAGUUAGAAAUUUGACCUAAACGUCAGUGAAAUGCAUUCUAAAUUCCCCUUGAAAUUCACAAUGAGUUGGUUACAAAUUAGGAAUUAGUUAGAGUAAUGAAUGGUUAUCAGUUCUGUUAAAUUCUGUUAGAAAUUUAGAAAGUUAGUUGGGGGUUAAAUCCAAAAUGAAAUGAAAAAUGGAAAUUAGUAAAUUUUUGUUGAAAUGAAAAUGAAUGAUUGUUAAUACCUCAUUUCUCCAUAGCUCUCUACUGCUCUCUACUGCUAUAUUUCCAUACUGUUAUUAUAAAUAAAGAUCUUAAUUGGUGAAAUCAAAUUUGAAUUUACAGUUAGUUAAAUGAAACUCAAUCUGUUAGUGAAGCUAGCAUAAAUAUACCCGAACGUAUCACACGCUCGAACAUAAAACAUAGUGCCAUAGAACUUUAUUUAUUCCCGAAGGAAAGGGAAAACAUCGAUAAAAUCCAGGGGAAAGAGAUAUGCUGGGUAAGGAAGUCGGUUAUGCAAGGGGGAGGUAUUAGCACC
rnacentral:lncRNA from 1 species